CCCAAUUUUUGGGCGUUACAAGAACCCUAGGGUUCUUUCCCAUGUGCCACCAAAUGCCAGCACACAGCCCCGCCACGCACGCUCCCGUACACACGCCAGCACCACCCCGUACACCUCACGCCAAGGGCCAACGAACAGCCCCGUACUCGUACCUGCAAAGGAGAACAGACAAAAGCAGCAAAGACGAAGAAAGAAGAAUUGUAUUUCAUUUUUUUAUUAUUAUUUAUUUUUUACAUUCGACUAUAAAAGCCAAUUGAUUUUCGAUGGUAACUCUCUUUUUUUUGGGGGACGAACACACAAAAAUACAAACAAAGACAGCAAAUCAAUAGAAAAGCAAUAGAACAAGAAGGAGAUUUUUCCGAUUUAGAUUUGCAGGCGUUCCCUUUCUUUUGCUUGUUCUUUGUGUUGUGUUCUUCUUUAUUAUUCGAGAGUAAAUAAAAUGAAGGAAAAGGGACUUACCUUCACAUGUGAGCCACAGGAAUCCAUCAUCUUCAUCGGCAUCGAAGGUUGAGAGGAUUCCAAGGCCGAAAUUCGCAGACCACGGUACGGGAAACGAAAUAAGGGAGCAAAAAGGGCACCAUCGAAGUGCCAUGCACCAUAUGUGAGAACAGAACAGGGGCUAAACGGUGCAAAAAUGUUAGGGUUUCCCCUUCUUCUUUACUUAAGCCAGAUGGUUUGGCAUUGGGCCCCCUUUUAAGCAACCAAAAAUGGUACCGUUUAGGCCUGUGUCAAUGGCUCCAAAACGGUGCCGUGUAUAUAAGACCCAACUGACCCGAUUCCCAGCCCCUAUGACCCGCGCGUUCUAGCGGAGAGGGGGUAAUUUCGCUAAA
rnacentral:lncRNA from 1 species